UACGGGGGGGGCAAGCGUUGUUCGGAAUUACUGGGCGUAAAGGGCUCGUAGGCGGCCAACUAAGUCGGACGUGAAAUCCCCAGGCUCAACCUGGGAACUGCGUCUGAUACUGGAUGGCUUGAAUUCGGGAGAGGGAUGCAGAAUUCCAGGUGUAGCGGUGAAAUGCGUAGAUAUCAGGAAGAACACCCGUGGCGAAGGCGGUUCUCUGGGACGGUACUGACGCUGAGACGCGAAAGCGUGGGGAGCGAACAGG
rnacentral:rRNA from 1 species